rnacentral:rRNA from 1 species
GAUGAACGCUAGCGGCAGGCUUAAUACAUGCAAGUCGAGGGACAGCACAGGUAGCAAUACUGGGUGGUAACCGGCAAACGGGUGCGGAACACGUACACAACCUUCCUUUAAGUGGGGGAUAGCCCAGAGAAAUUUGGAUUAAUACCCCGUAAUAUAGUUGAAUGGCAUCAUUUGAUUAUUAUAGCUACGGCGCUUAAUGAUGGGUGUGCGGCUGAUUAGAUAGUUGGCGGGGUAACGGCCCACCAAGUCUACGAUCAGUAGCUGAUGUGAGAGCAUGAUCAGCCAGACGGGCACUGAGACACGGGCCCGAAUCCUACUGGCGGCAGCAGUAAGGAAUAUUGGUCAAUGGACGCAAGACUGAACCAGCCAUGCCGCGUGAAGGAUUAAGGUCCUCUGGAUUGUAAACUUCUUUUAUUUGGGACGAAAAAGGGCCUUUCUAGGUCAACUGACGGUACCAGAUGAAUAAGCACCGGCUAACUCCGUGCCAGCCGCCGCCGUAACAC